GGGAUCCUCCAUAUGCUGAACGCUGGUUCCCCGGGUCCCCUUCUUUCUUUCUCUAUACUUUGUCUCUGUGUCUUUUUCUUUUCCAAAUCUCUCGUCCCACCUUACGAGAAACACCCACAGGUGUGUAGGGGCAACCCACCCCUACAUCUGGUGCCCAACGUGGAGGCUUUUCUCUAGGGUGAAGGUACGCUCGAGCGUGGUCAUUGAGGACAAGUCGACGAGAGAUCCCGAGUACAUCUACAGUCAGCCUUACGACAUUUGAAGUUCUACAAUGAACCCAUCAGAGAUGCAAAGAAAAGCACCUCCGCGGAGACGGAGACAUCGCAAUCGAGCACCGUUGACUCACAAGAUGAACAAAAUGGUGACGUCAGAAGAACAGAUGAAGUUGCCAUCCACCAAGAAGGCAGAGCCGCCAACUUGGGCACAACUAAAGAAGCUGACGCAGUUAGCUACAAAAUAUCUAGAGAACACAAAGGUGACACAAACCCCAGAGAGUAUGCUGCUUGCAGCCUUGAUGAUUGUAUCAAUGGUGGUAAGUCUCCCUAUGCCUGCAGGAGCAGCUGCAGCUAACUAUACCUACUGGGCCUAUGUGCCUUUCCCGCCCUUAAUUCGGGCAGUCACAUGGAUGGAUAAUCCUACAGAAGUAUAUGUUAAUGAUAGUGUAUGGGUACCUGGCCCCAUAGAUGAUCGCUGCCCUGCCAAACCUGAGGAAGAAGGGAUGAUGAUAAAUAUUUCCAUUGGGUAUCAUUAUCCUCCUAUUUGCCUAGGGAGAGCACCAGGAUGUUUAAUGCCUGCAGUCCAAAAUUGGUUGGUAGAAGUACCUACUGUCAGUCCCAUCUGUAGAUUCACUUAUCACAUGGUAAGCGGGAUGUCACUCAGGCCACGGGUAAAUUAUUUACAAGACUUUUCUUAUCAAAGAUCAUUAAAAUUUAGACCUAAAGGGAAACCUUGCCCCAAGGAAAUUCCCAAAGAAUCAAAAAAUACAGAAGUUUUAGUUUGGGAAGAAUGUGUGGCCAAUAGUGCGGUGAUAUUACAAAACAAUGAAUUCGGAACUAUUAUAGAUUGGGCACCUCGAGGUCAAUUCUACCACAAUUGCUCAGGACAAACUCAGUCGUGUCCAAGUGCACAAGUGAGUCCAGCUGUUGAUAGCGACUUAACAGAAAGUUUAGACAAACAUAAGCAUAAAAAAUUGCAGUCUUUCUACCCUUGGGAAUGGGGAGAAAAAGGAAUCUCUACCCCAAGACCAAAAAUAGUAAGUCCUGUUUCUGGUCCUGAACAUCCAGAAUUAUGGAGGCUUACUGUGGCCUCACACCACAUUAGAAUUUGGUCUGGAAAUCAAACUUUAGAAACAAGAGAUCGUAAGCCAUUUUAUACUAUUGACCUGAAUUCCAGUCUAACAGUUCCUUUACAAAGUUGCGUAAAGCCCCCUUAUAUGCUAGUUGUAGGAAAUAUAGUUAUUAAACCAGACUCCCAGACUAUAACCUGUGAAAAUUGUAGAUUGCUUACUUGCAUUGAUUCAACUUUUAAUUGGCAACACCGUAUUCUGCUGGUGAGAGCAAGAGAGGGCGUGUGGAUCCCUGUGUCCAUGGACCGACCGUGGGAGGCCUCGCCAUCCGUCCAUAUUUUGACUGAAGUAUUAAAAGGUGUUUUAAAUAGAUCCAAAAGAUUCAUUUUUACUUUAAUUGCAGUGAUUAUGGGAUUAAUUGCAGUCACAGCUACGGCUGCUGUAGCAGGAGUUGCAUUGCACUCUUCUGUUCAGUCAGUAAACUUUGUUAAUGAUUGGCAAAAAAAUUCUACAAGAUUGUGGAAUUCACAAUCUAGUAUUGAUCAAAAAUUGGCAAAUCAAAUUAAUGAUCUUAGACAAACUGUCAUUUGGAUGGGAGACAGACUCAUGAGCUUAGAACAUCGUUUCCAGUUACAAUGUGACUGGAAUACGUCAGAUUUUUGUAUUACACCCCAAAUUUAUAAUGAGUCUGAGCAUCACUGGGACAUGGUUAGACGCCAUCUACAGGGAAGAGAAGAUAAUCUCACUUUAGACAUUUCCAAAUUAAAAGAACAAAUUUUCGAAGCAUCAAAAGCCCAUUUAAAUUUGGUGCCAGGAACUGAGGCAAUUGCAGGAGUUGCUGAUGGCCUCGCAAAUCUUAACCCUGUCACUUGGGUUAAGACCAUUGGAAGUACUACGAUUAUAAAUCUCAUAUUAAUCCUUGUGUGCCUGUUUUGUCUGUUGUUAGUCUGCAGGUGUACCCAACAGCUCCGAAGAGACAGCGACCAUCGAGAACGGGCCAUGAUGACGAUGGCGGUUUUGUCGAAAAGAAAAGGGGGAAAUGUGGGGAAAAGCAAGAGAGAUCAGAUUGUUACUGUGUCUGUGUAGAAAGAAGUAGACAUAGGAGACUCCAUUUUGUUAUGUACUAAGAAAAAUUCUUCUGCCUUGAGAUUCUGUUAAUCUAUGACCUUACCCCCAACCCCGUGCUCUCUGAAACAUGUGCUGUGUCCACUCAGGGUUAAAUGGAUUAAGGGCGGUGCAGGAUGUGCUUUGUUAAACAGAUGCUUGAAGGCAGCAUGCUCCUUAAGAGUCAUCACCACUCCCUAAUCUCAAGUACCCAGGGACACAAAAAGUGCGGAAGGCCGCAGGGACCUCUGCCUAGGAAAGCCAGGUAUUGUCCAACGUUUCUCCCCAUGUGAUAGCCUGAAAUAUGGCCUCGUGGGAAGGGAAAGACCUGACCGUCCCCCAGCCCGACACCCGUAAAGGGUCUGUGCUGAGGAGGAUUAGUAAAAGAGGAAGGAAUGCCUCUUGCAGUUGAGACAAGAGGAAGGCAUCUGUCUCCUGCCUGUCCCUGGGCAAUGGAAUGUCUCGGUAUAAAACCCGAUUGUAUGCUCCAUCUACUGAGAUAGGGAAAAACCGCCUUAGGGCUGGAGGUGGGACCUGCGGGCAGCAAUACUGCUUUGUAAAGCACUGAGAUGUUUAUGUGUAUGCAUAUCUAAAAGCACAGCACUUAAUCCUUUACAUUGUCUAUGAUGCAAAGACCUUUGUUCACAUGUUUGUCUGCUGACCCUCUCCCCACAAUUGUCUUGUGACCCUGACACAUCCCCCUCUUCGAGAAACACCCACAGAUGAUCAGUAAAUACUAAGGGAACUCAGAGGCUGGCGGGAUCCUCCAUAUGCUGAACGCUGGUUCCCCGGGUCCCCUUCUUUCUUUCUCUAUA
ensembl:lncRNA novel transcript